rnacentral:rRNA from 1 species
AGCGAACGCUGGCGGCAGGCCUAACACAUGCAAGUCGAACGAACUCUUCGGAGUUAGUGGCGGACGGGUGAGUAACACGUGGGAACGUGCCUUUAGGUUCGGAAUAACUCAGGGAAACUUGUGCUAAUACCGAAUGUGCCCUUCUGGGGAAAGAUUUAUCGCCUUUAGAGCGGCCCGCGUCUGAUUAGCUAGUUGGUGAGGUAAAGGCUCACCAAGGCGACGAUCAGUAGCUGGUCUGAGAGGAUGAUCAGCCACAUUGGGACUGAGACACGGCCCAAACUCCUACGGGAGGCAGCAGUGGGGAAUCUUGCGCAAUGGGCGAAAGCCUGACGCAGCCAUGCCGCGUGAAUGAUGAAGGUCUUAGGAUUGUAAAAUUCUUUCACCGGGGACGAUAAUGACGGUACCCGGAGAAGAAGCCCCGGCUAACUUCGUG